UCUGUGUUUGUCCCGGCGCCUUCUCAGCAUUCAGAGUUACUCCUGCAGCGCAGUCAGGGCUUUGGGCAGCUUCCAGGUUGAAGGAGACCGGGUUGGUCAGAGCUCCAUCCAGGCUGGCCUUGAACGCUUCCAGGGAUGGGGCAUGCGCAACUUCUCUGGGCAAAUUGUGGCAGGGCCUCAGCACCCUCACAGCUCGGAACUUCCUCUUAAUAUGCUCCCUUCAGGUACUGGAAGGUCACCCCUGAGCCUUCUCUUCUCCAGGCUGAACAACCCCAAAUCUCUCAGUCUUUCCUUAAGGAAAGCUGUUCCAUCCCUCUGAUUGUCUUGGUGGCUUCUGGCCUCACUCCAACAGCUCCAUGUCCUUCCUCUGCUGGCCACCCCAGACCUGGACACAGCCCUGCAGGUGGGGUCACACCAGAGGGGGGGCAGAGGGGCAGAAUCCGCUCCCUCCCCUGCUGCCCAUAGGGCUUUGCAUGCAGCCUGGAACAGGGCUGCGGAACAGGGCUGCUUUCUGGGCUGCCAGAGCACAUUGCCACGUCAUGUCCAGCCUCAUACACCAGCACCCCCAAGUCCUUAAAUCAUUUUUGUGCAUGUUCUUCAGGAGUCACAUUACUGUGCAUGCCUCCACUAGUGUUUCAUUAGCUAUACAGAUGUAGAACAGCAAACUCUAUGACUUCCUUGGUCCAAGGAGGGUCAAGAUCAGGACUGAUGAACGUAUGAUGGCCAGGAAGGAGAACUGAUAAAUACUAGAAGUUUGAAAGUGAAAGGAUGGGUCCAAUGUGAUCUUACAAAAUGGAAGAAGCAGUUUUCAAAAUGAAAUUUAAAUGGACAUUGAUAAAAUUUUGAGAUGGAAGUGGUUUGAGCAAAUUAACCUGAUGAGGAGGAAUUGUUAUGAAAUUAUUGAGGUAAGUCAAUCAUAUGUAAAAAUAAAUAUAUUCUGAGACAAAUAUA